rnacentral:miRNA from 1 species
CUCUGGCAUGGUGUGGUGGGACAGCUGGUGUUGUGAAUCAGGCCGUUGCCAAUCAGAGAACGGCUACUUCACAACACCAGGGUCACACUGCACUAC